rnacentral:tRNA from 1 species
GGGUUUGUGGUUCAGUGGUAGAGCACUUGCCUAGCAUGUAGGAGGCACUGGGUUUGAACCUCAGCACCG